rnacentral:tRNA from 1 species
GCGGAAGUGGCGGAAUUGGCAGACGCGUACGUCUCAGAAGCGUAUGGGGAAACCCUUGAGGGUUCAACUCCCUCCUUCCGCA